AUGAACGCUAGCUACAGGCUUAACACAUGCAAGUCGAGGGGCAUCAGGAAGAAAGCUUGCUUUCUUUGCUGGCGACCGGCGCACGGGUGAGUAACACGUAUCCAACCUGCCCUUUACUCGGGGAUAGCCUUUCGAAAGAAAGAUUAAUACCCGAUAGUAUAAUGAUUCCGCAUGGUUUGAUUAUUAAAGGAUUCCGGUAAAGGAUGGGGAUGCGUUCCAUUAGGUUGUUGGUGAGGUAACGGCUCACCAAGCCUUCGAUGGAUAGGGGUUCUGAGAGGAAGGUCCCCCACAUUGGAACUGAGACACGGUCCAAACUCCUACGGGAGGCAGCAGUGAGGAAUAUUGGUCAAUGGGCGAUGGCCUGAACCAGCCAAGUAGCGUGAAGGAUGACUGCCCUAUGGGUUGUAAACUUCUUUUAUAUUAGAAUAAAGUGCAGUAUGUAUACUGUUUUGUAUGUAUAAUAUGAAUAAGGAUCGGCUAACUCCGUGCCAGCAGCCGCGGUAAUACGGAGGAUCCGAGCGUUAUCCGGAUUUAUUGGGUUUAAAGGGAGCGUAGGUGGACUGGUAAGUCAGUUGUGAAAGUUUGCGGCUCAACCGUAAAAUUGCAGUUGAUACUGUCAGUCUUGAGUACAGUAGAGGUGGGCGGAAUUCGUGGUGUAGCGGUGAAAUGCUUAGAUAUCACGAAGAACUCCGAUUGCGAAGGCAGCUCACUGGACUGCAACUGACACUGAUGCUCGAAAGUGUGGGUAUCAAACAGGAUUAGAUACCCUGGUAGUCCACACAGUAAACGAUGAAUACUCGCUGUUUGCGAUAUACAGUAAGCGGCCAAGCGAAAGCAUUAAGUAUUCCACCUGGGGAGUACGCCGGCAACGGUGAAACUCAAAGGAAUUGACGGGGGCCCGCACAAGCGGAGGAACAUGUGGUUUAAUUCGAUGAUACGCGAGGAACCUUACCCGGGCUUAAAUUGCAGUGGAAUGAUGUGGAAACAUGUCAGUGAGCAAUCACCGCUGUGAAGGUGCUGCAUGGUUGUCGUCAGCUCGUGCCGUGAGGUGUCGGCUUAAGUGCCAUAACGAGCGCAACCCUUAUCUUUAGUUACUAACAGGUCAUGCUGAGGACUCUGGAGAGACUGCCGUCGUAAGAUGUGAGGAAGGUGGGGAUGACGUCAAAUCAGCACGGCCCUUACGUCCGGGGCUACACACGUGUUACAAUGGGGGGUACUGAAGGCAGCUACCUGGUGACAGGAUGCUAAUCCCAAAAGCCUCUCUCAGUUCGGAUCGAAGUCUGCAACCCGACUUCGUGAAGCUGGAUUCGCUAGUAAUCGCGCAUCAGCCACGGCGCGGUGAAUACGUUCCCGGGCCUUGUACACACCGCCCGUCAAGCCAUGGGAGCCGGGGGUACCUGAAGUACGUAACCGCAAGGAGCGUCCUAGGGUAAAACUGGUGACUGGGGCU
rnacentral:rRNA from 1 species